ACCUUGAAAUACCACCCUUUAAUGUUUGAUGUUCUAACGUGGACCCGUAAUCCGGGUUGCGGACAGUGUCUGGUGGGUAGUUUGACUGGGGCGGUCUCCUCCUAAAGAGUAACGGAGGAGCACGAAGGUUGGCUAAUCCUGGUCGGACAUCAGGAGGUUAGUGCAAUGGCAUAAGCCAGCUUGACUGCGAGCGUGACGGCGCGAGCAGGUGCGAAAGCAGGUCAUAGUGAUCCGGUGGUUCUGAAUGGAAGGGCCAUCGCUCAACGGAUAAAAGGUACUCCGGGGAUAACAGGCUGAUACCGCCCAAGAGUUCAUAUCGACGGCGGUGUUUGGCACCUCGAUGUCGGCUCAUCACAUCCUGGGGCUGAAGUAGGUCCCAAGGGUAUGGCUGUUCGCCAUUUAAAGUGGUACGCGAGCUGGGUUUAGAACGUCGUGAGACAGUUCGGUCC
rnacentral:rRNA from 2 species